CUCUGAUAUAAGCCUAAUCUAUUCAGUUAAUACUAGGACAAGUACAGUUUACUGUGAACGGUUGGAAUAUUCCCAUCUGGCUGCAUGCACCAGAGCCUACAGAGCAGCUGCCCCCUCCCUGCCCCCUAGCCUUUUAAAUUUGCUUUCUAGAAACCGCUUUGGUAAGUUGGGGUUGCUUGUCAGAAAUCCGUUCCGAAGCUUGAGUGUAAAAUGAGCAGGGUACUAAUGAUGGAUAUGAAUGGAUGGAUAUCUUAAGGAUAACAAUGGAUAUGGCAUCUUCAAAAGCAGUGGCGUUCUGGCCCUAAUCCUGCUGCUGGAUUUGUUCGAAUGGACCUUGACAGCCAUGGGGCUGACUGAGUUGAUGGGACUCUGGAUGACUGCAAGUUUCUACUCUGAAGAUCUGAUUAUAGGCCUGAACCUAAAUUUUUAUUUUAUUCCCCUGUCUAUUUGCUUCUAAUUCAUGAAAAUUAUCCUACAAAACGGUAUUGUCUUUGAGUCUCAUGCACGCCUACUUUAGUACCAUUCAGACACCGUGUGCUUGGGAUGUUGUCAGACAUCGUUAAAAUGUUUCUUUUGUGUCAUGUGCCAAAAACUCAUGAUUACUCUGAUUAUUGUGUUGUAUUUUUACACUCAAUGCCUUCCUACCUAAAACGGAGGAGGUUAUCACCUGUGUUUUCAAUCAUUGUGGUAUUUCUCUUAACACAGAUUUUGAAGUCAAGAGCAACUGUUGGAACUCUAUUCAGGUCACUUUUAAAGAUGUUGGUAGAUUUGUUUUUUAAUUUUUGGACACAAAGUACAUAUUUUUUAUUUUAUUUCGCAAUGUGGUAUUUUCUCAAUAGCCUACUAUUACUGAAAGCUUUCAAUAUGAUGAUACUCUGUGACAUAGACCAAUAAAAUAAGUAGGAAAAGGCAUUAACUUUUACUAGCUCUCCUGUUGCUUUUCUGUUUCUGUGGCUGUGGUUACAUGACAUACUGUACAGCUGAGAGUGAGGAUAUUUUUAUUUUUGUGAAGCAGAGAAUAUCUUUUGUUUACAGAGUGCUUUCCCUGUCCUAUUCCAUAUGACCAUGUUGCAGUUUCACUGAGUACUAAAGUUAAAUACCUCUCAUAUAAGCUGGAAAGGACUUUGCAAAAUCACAUUAAAAAUAGAGUUUGAGGGGGAAAAUGGAUAUGCUCCAUCUCUGUGCAUGUUUGUAUUUAUAUAGUAUAGACUUUUUAAAGCAAGUGUGUAGCAAUAUAGGAUAAUUAAUGGGUGAAAAGAUCCAGAACAUUGUAGAGAAUCAGAAAUACCUUCUUUUUUUUUUUCUUAUAGGCUUUUUACAAUGAUAUCUAAGAGCUGCAGAGUAUUUGAUGAAUUUUUGCAUAUUCCCAGAACAACAGAAAAGCACCGCUGUCCUGUUUGACCAAGGAGAAAACCAAGCCACUCGUUCAGUCAGUAGUAAAGUUGAUGAUGCUAAUUGGGUUCUCCUGCCUUUUAACCUUGUGCCUCCAGCUCCAUUUCUCCCUCAAAAGCCAAAGCUUCCAUUAUAAUCAGCUGCUUUGCAUUUCUGUGUAAAAGGCCCAAGGUGUUUUGGUUUGGACUCACAGAAAAUGAGGAAGACAAGGUUGGUGGCCAUCUGCCAAGGAGCUUGGUCUGACUCGCUCCUCGUUCACAGAAGCCGAUGGCGAAGGCAGAGGCAGAACUGAGUGUUCCUGUGUGGCGUUCAACUGCCUUAACCACAUGCCCAUCGCUGUCUUCCUGUAGUUGUCUGUCUUGUUCUCUGCACAACUUCGAGAGCAAACACAUAUACCAACCUAUAAAUAAUCUAAUUCGAUACACAACCCUGAUUCAUUUCCUGAGCAGCGUGUGUCCUGCACACACAGGGCAGCUGCGGUCCUGUGGAAAAAUUCAGCAGAGUGGAUGAGGCCAAAUAUUAAGGCUAUUAAGUAUGUAAACUUUGCAAUGAAAUAGCAUUAUUUUAAUGUACCUUAUUAUAGCUAUAGCUUGAAGUAUUUUUAACAAGGAACAAGAAAAAAUGAAUGCUUUUAGAACUGGUUGUAAACAUUUCCCUGUGUAGCAUGUGAAUGUGAAUACUCAGCUCAGUGAAAUACAGAACGCCAGCCGGCAGGAGGAGGCUGGCCACCUCUGGGGAGGAAGGGAAGGAAGAAGGCUGGGUAGUAAAUGCCAUGGGUAUACCCAGUUUGCUUUCGAGUCUCAGGGACUAUUUGGGGAGACUUUACCCUACCUUUUAUUUUUUCUUCAGCAUUCCCAGCCCAGAAAAUGAGCUCUGCCAAAGUUUCUCAGUGCAAUAGAUGGUGAGGGUGUGCGGUGUGUUGCUAUAGUCUGCUAAGAGUGUAAAGAAAGAAAUGGAAAUCAAAAGUGGGUUUUUCUCCUAUCUAUGCUUUUCUGUCAGAAAGUAAGAGGAAGCACUCCUCAAGUCUCCCAGUUUUCUCCCAGAUGAAUUUCAGGGGCGAUCCAUGUGAUCCUUGAUCUCAAAAAUGGGUAGCAAAACCUUUUAAAAUAGAAAAUACUGCUCUCGUCCCCUUAAUCUUCUUCCCAGUCAAACUGCAGUGGCCUGUUGUGUUUGUAAGCUACCAAGGAUGGCGUGUAGGCUCCAGUGCCAGAGCAGUGGUGUUGGGAAUCACAAGCUCAUCUCUUUAUCUUUUAUGUUAGCCUUAAUUAAGAUUAUAGGGUUUUUUUCAGAGAAAUCUUGCCAGGCCACGGCAAGACCAUGGUUUCAGUUUUUGUUAAUGUUCUACCUUAUCCAUGGAUGACACUUGAGAUUUGGUGACCAGGCUAGUGAUUUGCUAUGAGGAAAACAAAGCAAUCUCAUGCUUUGCUUUUGCAUAUUUUUCUCUGGGGUAUGCAGUCUUUUCCCACGAGUAAUGCAGCAAAUUCAGAUGCCCUGUAAAGAGCACCAGAGAUGAUACUGAGAUAUAAAGGUAGUUAGGAAAAUUUUGGUCAGGCCAUUCACUAAGAUUCAUAAAAAUUGAAACGCUUGCAAAAGUACAUCAGUUCUACUGGCAUUUUGUUGUAAACAAAAAAUGAAACCCCUGCUUUUAACGCGCUUUUUUUUAAAAAUAAGUAUCAGUUUUCAAAGUUUCGCAGCUGUAGAGAAAUUGUGGGAGCAGGAAGAAUAAGUCUUGAUGGGGUGGAAUCACCUUAAGCCAGUAUCUCAACUCAACACUUUGUAUCAUGAAACCAUGGCCUGAAACUGCUGCCUGUCAUAUCAGAUAUUAUCAUUGAUUUAUUAUGUUACUUCAUCUUAGGCGUUGUUUGUAACCUUUUGGCAGGGAUUGUUUUUCUUCUCUGAUUUGGAGGAUUUUUUUGGCCUGGGUUUUUUGGGGGGAGUUUUCUGGGUUGGUUGUUGGAUUCUUUUUUUACCAGCACCUAAUGUGAGGGAGCCCUGAUCCAUGACUUGGCUUCCAGGUACUAGGAUAAUACAAGUAGUAAUCAUGCAUGCUGCUAAAAAUUUUCUACCUUAAUCCAUUUGCAUUUGUUUGCCUUCAGCUUCCAGUCAUUGAUUCUUGUUAUGCCUUUCUGUGAUGGAUUAAAGAGCUCUUUAGUACUCACUAUUUUCUCCCCAGGAAGGUGCUUUUACCCGGUAAUCAACUUACUUCUCAAUCUUUCUUUCUUUUUUUUUUUUUAAAGCAAAACAGAUUGAGCUUUUUAUGGUUCUCAUUAUUUUUUCACAUUCUUGGAUGAUUUUUGUGGCUCUUUUCUAUCCCUUCUCUAAUUUUUCUAUUAUAAAAGAGACGUAAAACUGUAUUUUACUAGUCACAUACACAGAAAUAAAAUUACUUCACUGUUUACUCCUGUGUUAGUAUGGUCAGAAAUUGAUGUUUUUGCAAGGUCAGAUAAAAUAAACAACUAUUCAACUAUUUAAUAUGACUUCAACACAUAUGAGUAUGUAAUUAUUAGAGGACAGAAAAGGAUAGAUCACUUAAAAAACAUUUAAAUACUUCAUAAACUUCAAAAGGACUAUCAAAUCAGUGAGAGUGGGUGUGCAGGGGGGUGUCUAAAAGUAUUUCUGUUUGGUUUGAGGUUUUUAAGGAGACAGAAGUGAAAUAACAAUAAUCUUAACUGUAAAUCAGCAAUAAUACAUCAAAACCUUACGUGCUGUGGAUAACACAGUAAUACGUACUUGCCAAAAUUUUGUAGGAUUGAAUGCAAAACCUUUGUUAGUAAUGGACUAUGCAGGCCAUUGGAAAUAGAGACUGUGAAUGGGUGUCAAUAUAUGCAUCCCUUACAUCAUUUAAUCCCAUAUGUAGCCACUUGCUGAUAUUCGGAAACCCUAGAACAGUUAUGUGAUCUGUUAUGCUGUAAUAGAAGAAAUAACAUAGUAUCAAGAAUUUCUUUUGUUAUAAAAGCUGUCACCAUUAAGUCAUAUAAGAGUUCAAACAGUCAAAAUCCACAGCUUCAAAGAAGCUCUUGAAAAUUUUACUGCUUCAG